rnacentral:rRNA from 1 species
CUCAUAGACGUGUGCAUUGGUAGGGGAGCGUUGGACAAGCGAGCGAAGGAGGACGGUAACGACCUCUGGACGUAGUCCAAGUGAUUAUGCCGGGAUGAGUAGCGAUAAAGAAGGUGAGAAUCCUUCUCGCCGUAAGCCUAAGGUUUCCUGGGCAAGGCCAUUCCGCCCAGGGUUAGUCGGUCCCUAAGACGAGGCUGAAAGGCGUAGUCGAUGGGAAGCAGGUCAACAUUCCUGCACCACCGUGAGCGUUGAACGAGGAGUGACGGCGGAUAGAAGUUCGUCCGGCUGUUAGAUGCCGGUUCUUGGUUUGGGUUGGCAGAUAGGAAAAUCCGUCUGCGGAAUAUCCGAGCUGAGAGGAGCCCUAGAGGCGAACCGAGUGGAAGUCCGUCCAAGAAAAUCUCCGCGGGAGCAGAGCGGUGACCGUACCAAAUUUGACACAGGAGGGCGAGGCGAAUAGCCUCAGGCGCGCGAGAGAACCCUACGUGAAGGAACUCGGCAAAUUAACCCCGUAAGUUCGCAAUAAGGGGUGCCCCCCGUAAGGGGGGCCACAGGAAAACGACAGCUGCGACUGUUUACUAAAAACACAGGUCUCUGCGAAGUCGUCAAAGACGACGUAUAGGGACUGACGCUUGCCCGCUGUUGGAACGUUAAGGUGACUGGUUAGCCGCAAGGCGAGGCUGGGAACCGAAGCGCCAAUGAAGGGCGGCCGUAACUAUGACGGUCCUAAGGUAGCGAAAUUCCUUGUCGGGUAAGUUCCGACCCGCACGAAUAGCGUAACGACAGCUGUACUGUCUCCACGAGGGACUCGGCGAAAUUGUAGUUGUGGUGAAGAUGCCACAUACCCGCACCAAGACGGAAAGACCCCGUGAACCUUUACUGUAACCUAAUACUGGCUCUAGGUUCGCCAUGUGUAGCAUAGGUGGGAGACGUUAAUGUCGGGGGCGCCAGCCUCCGAAUAGUCUUCAGUGAAAUACCACUCUUGGCGAUCUUGGAGUCUAACCUGCGACCGUUAUCCGGCGUGGGAACAGUGUUAGGCGGGCAGUUUGACUGGGGCGGUCUCCUCCUAAAAGGUAACGGAGGAGUGCAAAGGUACCCUCAAUGCGGUCGGCAAUCGCAUGAAGAGCGUAAAGGUAUAAGGGUGCUUGACUGCGAGACACAUAGGUCGAGCAGGUGCGAAAGUAGGUCUUAGUGAUCCGGUGGUCCCGUGUGGAAGGGCCAUCGCUCAUCAGAUAAAAGGUACUCCGGGGAUAACAGGCUGAUCACGCCCAAGAGUCCAUAUCGACGGCGUGGUUUGGCACCUCGAUGUCGGCUCAUCGCAUCCUGGGGCUGAAGGCGGUCCCAAGGGUUGGUCUGUUCGCCCAUUAAAGCGGUACGUGAGCUGGGUUUAGACCGUCGUGAGACAGGUCGGUCCCUAUCUGGUGUGGGCGCAGGAUGAUUGCGGAGACUCUUUCCUAGUACGAGAGGAUUGGAAAGAACGGACCUCUGGUGUGCCAGUUGUCGCGCUAGCGGCAUCGCUGGAUAGCUAUGUCCGGGCUGGAUAAGCGCUGAAAGCAUCUAAGUGCGAAGCCAACUCCAAGACUGGUCAUCCCAUGAGACACCUGGUAGACCACCAGGUUGAUAGGCCGGAAGUGUAAGGACAGCAAUGUUCUCAGCUAACCGGUACUAACCAGUCGAUCGGCUUGAUC